rnacentral:rRNA from 1 species
UACGUAGGGAGCAAGCGUUGUCCGGAAUCAUUGGGCGUAAAGGGCGCGUAGGCGGCAAAUUAAGUCAGCUGUGAAAUCUCCGAGCUUAACUCGGAACGGUCAGCUGAUACUGAUCUGCUAGAGUGCGGAAGGGGCAAUCGGAAUUCUUGGUGUAGCGGUGAAAUGCGUAGAUAUCAAGAGGAACACCUGAGGUGAAGACGGGUUGCUGGGCCGACACUGGCGCUGAGUGCGCGAAAGCCAGGGGAGCAAACGGG